rnacentral:rRNA from 1 species
UCGCAUCCCAUUAGCUAGUUGGUGAGGUAACGGCUCACCAAGGCGACGAUGGGUAGCCGACCUGAGAGGGUGAUCGGCCACACUGGAACUGAGACACGGUCCAGACUCCUACGGGAGGCAGCAGUGGGGAAUAUUGGGCAAUGGGCGCAAGCCUGACCCAGCAACGCCGCGUGAGGGAAGAAUGUCUUCGGAUUGUAAACCUCUGUCCUUGGGGACGAAAAAAAUGACGGUACCCAAGGAGGAAGCUCCGGCUAACUACGUGCCAGCAGCCGCGGUAAUACGUAGGGAGCAAGCGUUGUCCGGAAUUAUUGGGCGUAAAGGGUGCGUAGGCGGCUUUGCAAGUCAGAUGUGAAAUCCCCGGGCUUAACUCGGGUAUUGCAUUUGAAACUGUAAAGCUUGAGUAAAGAAGAGGUAAGUGGAAUUCCUAGUGUAGCGGUGGAAUGCGUAGAUAUUAGGAGGAACACCAGUGGCGAAGGCGACUUACUGGUCUUUUACUGACGCUGAGGCACGAAAGCGUGGGGGAGCAAACAGGAUUAGAUACCCUGGUAGUCCACGCUGUAAACGAUGGAUACUAGGUGUGGGGGAGAUACAACCUCUGUGCCGGAGCUUAACGCAAUAAGUAUCCCGCCUGGGGGAGUACGGUCGCAAGACUGAAACUCAAAGGAAUUGACGGGGGCCCGCACAAGCAGCGGAGCAUGUGGUUUAAUUCCGAAGCAACGCUGAAGAACCUUACCAAGGCUUGACAUCCCUUGACCGCCAUAGAAAUUAUGGUUUUCCUUCGGGCAAGGAGACAGGUGGUGGCAUGGGUU